rnacentral:rRNA from 1 species
UACGUAGGCAGCGAGCGUUGUUCGGAAUUACUGGGCGUAAAGAGUGUGUAGGCGGUGCUCUAAGUUCGGUGUGAAAUCUCCUGGCUCAACUGGGAGGGUGCGCCGGAAACUGGAGUGCUUGAGCGUGGGAGAGGAAAGCGGAAUUCCUGGUGUAGCGGUGAAAUGCGUAGAUAUCAGGAGGAACACCUGUGGUGUAGACGGCUUUCUGGACCAUAGCUGACGCUGAGACACGAAAGCGUG